rnacentral:rRNA from 1 species
UUGACCCGGCGAUGUCCGAAUGGGGAAACCCAGUGCAAUCCGUUGCACUAUCGUUAACUGAAUACAUAGGUUAACGAGGCGAACCGGGGGAACUGAAACAUCUAAGUACCCCGAGGAAAAGAAAUCAACCGAGAUUCCCCCAGUAGCGGCGAGCGAACGGGGAGCAGCCCGGAGUCUGAAUCAGCUUGUGUGUUAGUGGAACGGUCUGGAAAGUCCGACGGUACAGGGUGAUAGUCCCGUACACGAAAGCACACAUGCUGUGAACUCGAAGAGUAGGGCGGGACACGUGGUAUCCUGUCUGAAUAUGGGGGGACCAUCCUCCAAGGCUAAAUACUCCUGACUGACCGAUAGUGAACCAGUACCGUGAGGGAAAGGCGAAAAGAACCCCGGCGAGGGGAGUGAAAAAGAACCUGAAACCGUGUACGUACAAGCAGUGGGAGCCUCUUUAUGGGGUGACUGCGUACCUUUUGUAUAAUGGGUCAGCGACUUAUAUUCUGUAGCAAGGUUAACCGUAUAGGGGAGCCGAAGGGAAACCGAGUCUUAACUGGGCGUUAAGUUGCAGGGUAUAGACCCGAAACCCGGUGAUCUAGCCAUGGGCAGGUUGAAGGUUGGGUAACACUAACUGGAGGACCGAACCGACUAAUGUUGAAAAAUUAGCGGAUGACCUGUGGCUGGGGGUGAAAGGCCAAUCAAACCGGGAGAUAGCUGGUUCUCCCCGAAAGCUAUUUAGGUAGCGCCUCGUGAACUCAUCUUCGGGGGUAGAGCACUGUUUCGGCUAGGGGGCCAUCCCGGCUUACCAACCCGAUGCAAACUACGAAUACCGAAGAAUGUUAUCACGGGAGACACACGGCGGGUGCUAACGUCCGUCGUGAAGAGGGAAACAACCCAGACCGCCAGCUAAGGUCCCAAAGUCAUGGUUAAGUGGGAAACGAUGUGGGAAGGCACAGACAGCCAGGAUGUUGGCUUAGAAGCAGCCAUCAUUUAAAGAAAGCGUAAUAGCUCACUGGUCGAGUCGGCCUGCGCGGAAGAUGUAACGGGGCUAAACCAUGCACCGAAGCUGCGGCAGCGACACUUAUGUGUUGUUGGGUAGGGGAGCGUUCUGUAAGCCGUUGAAGGUGUGCUGUGAGGCAUGCUGGAGGUAUCAGAAGUGCGAAUGCUGACAUAAGUAACGAUAAAGCGGGUGAAAAGCCCGCUCGCCGGAAGACCAAGGGUUCCUGUCCAACGUUAAUCGGGGCAGGGUGAGUCGACCCCUAAGGCGAGGCCGAAAGGCGUAGUCGAUGGGAAACAGGUUAAUAUUCCUGUACUUGGUGUUACUGCGAAGGGGGGACGGAGAAGGCUAUGUCAGCCGGGCGACGGUUGUCCCGGUUUAAGCAUGUAGGCGGAGGUUCCAGGUAAAUCCGGUACCUUGUUAACGCUGAGGUGUGAUGACGAGGCACUACGGUGCUGAAGUGAUAAAUGCCCUGCUUCCAGGAAAAGCCUCUAAGCAUCAGGUAACACGAAAUCGUACCCCAAACCGACACAGGUGGUCAGGUAGAGAAUACCAAGGCGCUUGAGAGAACUCGGGUGAAGGAACUAGGCAAAAUGGUGCCGUAACUUCGGGAGAAGGCACGCUGAU